rnacentral:ncRNA from 12 species
UCCUGGAGAGUUUUAUGUUUCCCUGAGCAAGAAACGUGAAAUAGGACUACACGCCAAUUUACUAGCACAUCAUUUAGAUUUAUUUUAAGUCAUAAAAUUCAGCUUUGACAAAAUUGGAAAAGCGGUGAAAGAAAAUUAAAUUUUCAAAAGUAAAUUGGCUAUCUUAG